rnacentral:tRNA from 1 species
GAGGGUGUAGCUCAGUGGUAGAGCACAAGCUUAGCAGGCACAAGGUCCUGGGUUCAAUCCCCAGCACCUCCA